ACUCAAAUGAAUUGACGGGGGCCCGCACAAGCGGUGGAGCAUGUGGUUCAAUUCGACGCAACGCGAAGAACCUUACCUGGGCUCGAACGGCUGGUCAACGGCGGUGGAAACACUGCUACCCCGCAAGGGGGUCCAGUCGAGGUGCUGCAUGGCUGUCGUCAGCUCGUGUCGUGAGAUGUUGGGUUAAGUCCCGCAACGAGCGCAACCCUUGUCCUGUGUUGCCAUGUUCGCAAGAACGGAACUCGCAGGAGACCGCCAGCGAUAAGCUGGAGGAAGGUGGGGAUGACGUCAAGUCCUCAUGGCCUUUAUGUCCAGGGCUACACACGUGCUACAAUGGACGGUACAAUACGCCGCAAACCCGCGAGGGGGAGCCAAUCGUCAAAAACCGUUCUCAGUUCGGAUUGCAGGCUGCAACUCGCCUGCAUGAAGCUGGAAUCGCUAGUAAUGGCAGAUCAGCACGCUGCCGUGAAUACGUUCCCGGGCCUUGUACACACCGCCCGU
rnacentral:rRNA from 1 species